rnacentral:tRNA from 1 species
AGGAGGAUAGCUCAAUUGGUAGAGCGUUAGUUUCCAAAACUAAAGGUUAAGGGUUCAAGUCCCUUUUUUCCUG